rnacentral:rRNA from 1 species
GUCGUGAGAUGUUGGGUUAAGUCCCGCAACGAGCGCAACCCUUGUCUUUAGUUGCCAUCAUUAAGUUGGGCACUCUAAAGAGACUGCCGGUGACAAACCGGAGGAAGGUGGGGAUGACGUCAAGUCAUCAUGCCCCUUAUGACCUGGGCUACACACGUGCUACAAUGGGCAGUACAACGAGAAGCGAACCCGCGAGGGUAAGCGGAUCUCUUAAAGCUGUUCUCAGUUCGGACUGCAGGCUGCAACUCGCCUGCACGAAGCUGGAAUCGCUAGUAAUCGCGGAUCAGCACGCCGCGGUGAAUACGUUCCCGGGCCUUGUACACACCGCCCGUCACACCAUGGAAGUCUGCAAUGCCCAAAGUCGGUGGGAUAACCUUUAUAGGAGUCAGCCGCCUAAGGCAGGGCAGAUGACUGGGGUGAAGUCGUAACAAGGUAGCCGUAGGAGAACCUGCGGCUGGAUCACCUCCUUUCUAAGGAA